rnacentral:rRNA from 1 species
UACAGGAAGCAGCUUGCUGCUUCGCUGACGAGUGGCGGACGGGUGAGUAAUGUCUGGGAAACUGCCUGAUGGAGGGGGAUAACUACUGGAAACGGUAGCUAAUACCGCAUAACGUCGCAAGACCAAAGAGGGGGACCUUCGGGCCUCUUGCCAUCGGAUGUGCCCAGAUGGGAUUAGCUAGUAGGUGGGGUAACGGCUCACCUAGGCGACGAUCCCUAGCUGGUCUGAGAGGAUGACCAGCCACACUGGAACUGAGACACGGUCCAGACUCCUACGGGAGGCAGCAGUGGGGAAUAUUGCACAAUGGGCGCAAGCCUGAUGCAGCCAUGCCGCGUGUAUGAAGAAGGCCUUCGGGUUGUAAAGUACUUUCAGCGGGGAGGAAGGGAGUAAAGUUAAUACCUUUGCUCAUUGACGUUACCCGCAGAAGAAGCACCGGCUAACUCCGUGCCAGCAGCCGCGGUAAUACGGAGGGUGCAAGCGUUAAUCGGAAUUACUGGGCGUAAAGCGCACGCAGGCGGUUUGUUAAGUCAGAUGUGAAAUCCCCGGGCUCAACCUGGGAACUGCAUCUGAUACUGGCAAGCUUGAGUCUCGUAGAGGGGGGUAGAAUUCCAUGUGUA